rnacentral:rRNA from 1 species
AGUGAACGCUGGCGGUAGGCCUAACACAUGCAAGUCGAACGGCAGCACAGUAAGAGCUUGCUCUUACGGGUGGCGAGUGGCGGACGGGUGAGGAAUACAUCGGAAUCUACUUUUUCGUGGGGGAUAACGUAGGGAAACUUACGCUAAUACCGCAUACGACCUACGGGUGAAAGCAGGGGAUCUUCGGACCUUGCGCGAUUGAAUGAGCCGAUGUCGGAUUAGCUAGUUGGCGGGGUAAAGGCCCACCAAGGCGACGAUCCGUAGCUGGUCUGAGAGGAUGAUCAGCCACACUGGAACUGAGACACGGUCCAGACUCCUACGGGAGGCAGCAGUGGGGAAUAUUGGACAAUGGGCGCAAGCCUGAUCCAGCCAUACCGCGUGGGUGAAGAAGGCCUUCGGGUUGUAAAGCCCUUUUGUUUGGAAAGAAAAGCAGCAGGUUAAUACCCCGCUGUUCUGACGGUACCCAAAGGAUAAGCACCGGCUAACUUCGUG